rnacentral:rRNA from 1 species
CCUACGGGUGGCAGCAGUGGGGAAUAUUGGACAAUGGGGGCAACCCUGAUCCAGCCAUGCCGCGUGUGUGAAGAAGGCCCUCGGGUUGUAAAGCACUUUCAGUGAGGAAGAACGCCUGGUGGUUAAUACCCAUCAGGAAAGACAUCACUCACAGAAGAAGCACCGGCUAACUCCGUGCCAGCAGCCGCGGUAAUACGGAGGGUGCGAGCGUUAAUCGGAAUUACUGGGCGUAAAGCGCGCGUAGGUGGCUUGAUAAGCCGGUUGUGAAAGCCCCGGGCUCAACCUGGGAACGGCAUCCGGAACUGUCAAGCUAGAGUGCAGGAGAGGAAGGUAGAAUUCCCGGUGUAGCGGUGAAAUGCGUAGAGAUCGGGAGGAAUACCAGUGGCGAAGGCGGCCUUCUGGACUGACACUGACUCUGAGGUGCGAAAGCGUGGGUAGCAAACAGGAUUAGAUACCCCAGUAGUC